rnacentral:rRNA from 1 species
UACGUAGGUGGCAAGCGUUGUCCGGAUUUACUGGGCGUAAAGGAUGCGUAGGCGGACAUUUAAGUCAGAUGUGAAAUACCCCGAGCUUAACUUGGUGCUGCAUUUGAAACUGGGUGUCUAGAGUGCAGGAGAGGUAAGUGGAAUCCUAGUGUAGCGGUGAAAUUCGUAGAUAUUGGGAAGAACACCGGUGGCGAAGGCGGCGACCUGGUCCGAUACUGACGCUGAGGCGCGAAGCGUGGGGAGCAAACAGG